GAAACAGGUGCUAAUACCGUAUAACACUAUUUUCCGCAUGGAAGAAAGUUGAAAGGCGCUUUUGCGUCACUGAUGGAUGGACCCGCGGUGCAUUAGCUAGUUGGUGAGGUAACGGCUCACCAAGGCCACGAUGCAUAGCCGACCUGAGAGGGUGAUCGGCCACACUGGGACUGAGACACGGCCCAGACUCCUACGGGAGGCAGCAGUAGGGAAUCUUCGGCAAUGGACGAAAGUCUGACCGAGCAACGCCGCGUGAGUGAAGAAGGUUUUCGGAUCGUAAAACUCUGUUGUUAGAGAAGAACAAGGAUGAGAGUAAAAUGUUCUUCCCUUGACGGUAUCUAACCAGAAAGCCACGGCUAACUACGUGCCAGCAGCCGCGGUAAUACGUAGGUGGCAAGCGUUGUCCGGAUUUAUUGGGCGUAAAGCGAGCGCAGGCGGUUUCUUAAGUCUGAUGUGAAAGCCCCCGGCUCAACCGGGGAGGGUCAUUGGAAACUGGGAGACUUGAGUGCAGAAGAGGAGAGUGGAAUUCCAUGUGUAGCGGUGAAAUGCGUAGAUAUAUGGAGGAACACCAGUGGCGAAGGCGGCUCUCUGGUCUGUAACUGACGCUGAGGCUCGAAAGCGUGGGGAGCGAACAGGAUUAGAUACCCUGGUAGUCC
rnacentral:rRNA from 1 species